rnacentral:rRNA from 1 species
CGCCAGACUCCUACGGGAGGCAGCAGUGGGGAAUAUUGCACAAUGGGGGAAACCCUGAUGCAGCGACGCCGCGUGAGCGAUGAAGUAUUUCGGUAUGUAAAGCUCUAUCAGCAGGGAAGAAGAUGACGGUACCUGACUAAGAAGCCCCGGCUAACUACGUGCCAGCAGCCGCGGUAAUACGUAGGGGGCAAGCGUUAUCCGGAUUUACUGGGUGUAAAGGGAGCGUAGACGGCUGUGCAAGCCAGAUGUGAAAGCCCGGGGCUCAACCCCGGGACUGCAUUUGGAACUGUGUGGCUGGAGUGUCGGAGAGGCAGGCGGAAUUCCUAGUGUAGCGGUGAAAUGCGUAGAUAUUAGGAGGAACACCAGUGGCGAAGGCGGCCUGCUGGGCGAUGACUGACGUUGAGGCUCGAAAGCGUGGGGAGCAAACAGGAUUAGAUACCCCAGUAC